rnacentral:rRNA from 1 species
UACGGAGGAUGCAAGCGUUAUCCGGAAUGAUUGGGCGUAAAGCGUCCGCAGGUGGCAAUGUAAGUCUGCUGUCAAAGCGUCUGGCUCAACCAGAUAAAGGCAGUGGAAACUACACAGCUAGAGUACGGUCGGGGUAGAAGGAAUUCCUGGUGUAGCGGUGAAAUGCGUAGAGAUCAGGAAGAACACCGGUGGCGAAAGCGUUCUGCUAGACCUGUACUGACACUGAGGGACGAAAGCUAGGGGAGCGAAUGGG